rnacentral:rRNA from 1 species
GACUACCGGGGUAUCUAAGCCUGUUUGCUCCCCACGCUUUCGCGCCUCAGCGUCAGUAUUUGUCCAGCAGGCCGCCUUCGCCACCGGUAUUCCUCCUGAUAUCUACGCAUUUCACCGCUACACCAGGAAUUCUGCCUGCCUCUCCAAUACUCAAGUGACCCAGUUCAGGGUGCAUGUCUACGGUUGAGCCGUAGCCUUUCACAUCCUGCUUAAAUCACCGCCUGCGCGCCCUUUACGCCCAGUGAUUCCGGACAACGCUUGUCCCCUACGUAUUACCGCGGCUGCUGGCACGUAGUUAGCCGGGACUUGCUCAUCAGGUACCGUCAUUUUCUUCUUCCCUGAUAACAGAGCUUUACGAUCCGAAGACCUUCUUCGCUCACGCGGUAUUGCUGCGUCAGAGUUCUUCUCCAUUGCGCAAUAUUCCCCACUGCAGCCCCCCGUAGG